UGAGGAACAUGACCUUCGGCGGGGGAUAGCCGGCCCAACGGCCGGGUAAUACCGCGUACGACCACAUGGGGACAUCCCUGAGUGGUGAAAGCAGCAAUGCGCCGAUGGAGUGCCUCGCGGCCUAUCAGCUAGUUGGUGAGGUAACGGCUCACCAAGGCAACGACGGGUAGCUGGUCUGAGAGGAUGGCCAGCCACAUUGGGACUGAGACACGGCCCAGACU
rnacentral:rRNA from 1 species